GAUGAACGCUAGCUACAGGCUUAACACAUGCAAGUCGAGGGGCAGCAUUAGGUAGCAAUACUGAGAUGGCGACCGGCGCACGGGUGCGUAACGCGUAUCCAACUUUCCCGUUACUCUGGGAUAGCCUUCCGAAAGGGAGAUUAAUAUCGGAUGGUGUUUGAAUUCCGCAUGUUAUUCAAACUAAAGAUUUAUCGGUAACGGAUAGGGAUGCGUGACAUUAGGUAGAUGGCGGGGUAACGGCCCACCAUGCCCACGAUGUCUAGGGGUUCUGAGAGGAAGGUCCCCCACACUGGAACUGAGACACGGUCCAGACUCCUACGGGAGGCAGCAGUGAGGAAUAUUGGUCAAUGGUCGGAAGACUGAACCAGCCAAGUAGCGUGAAGGAUGAAGGUUCUAUGGAUUGUAAACUUCUUUUAUAUAGGAAUAAAACCUCCCACGUGUGGGAGCUUGUAUGUACUAUAUGAAUAAGCAUCGGCUAACUCCGUGCCAGCAGCCGCGGUAAGAC
rnacentral:rRNA from 1 species